rnacentral:rRNA from 1 species
UACGAAGGGGACUAGCGUUGUUCGGAAUCACUGGGCGUAAAGCGCACGUAGGCGGAUUCGUAAGUCAGGGGUGAAAUCCCGGGGCUCAACCUCGGAACUGCCUUUGAUACUGCGGGUCUUGAGUCCGAUAGAGGUGGGUGGAAUUCCUAGUGUAGAGGUGAAAUUCGUAGAUAUUAGGAAGAACACCGGUGGCGAAGGCGGCCCACUGGAUCGGUACUGACGCUGAGACGCGAAAGCGUGGGGAGCGAACAGG